GGCCUCGUGGCUUAAUGGCAUAGCGCUUGACUACGAUUGAAAUGGAAACUACGGUUGUAAUCAAGAGAUUCUGGGUUCGAUCCCCAGCGAGGUCA